CUGGGGUGGUCAGCCCUCCCUGCCGGGGUCUGGUGAUGCUGAAAAGUCUUCAAACCAGGCUCAUCCCGCUGGUCUUUCAAUGAGUGGCGCCUGACCCCCACCUUCAAUUCCAUAUCCGGAUCCUUUUCGGGUGAAGAAAGAGGACUCAUAUGGACCGGGGGACCCUCCCAGCUCAUCAGAGAACCAGACAGGAAGCACAAAUGAAGCGGAAGCCCUGAUGCGCUGUCUGAGGGGCGAAAGUCAUGCUGGCUGUGGUGAGACCCCCGAUGGGUGUGGACAUCAAGCUGAUCUGAACUCCUGGGCUAAGUUCUAGAUGACCAACCCUGCCCACUGCAACACAAGCUUGGCCAUCAUUUUCUCUCUCCUGGGUCCCAGAAUUUUUCAGGGAGUGAUGUAAGAAUGGAAAGCAAUUGGAGUCUUCGAUGCGAAGAGCGCCCUUGAGUUGCUGUCUGCUUCCUGCCUGGCUCCCAUGCUGUAGAGAAGUCUGCAGUUUGGGAUGGACAUCCAGUCUCAACUAGUCCUUGUUAUUUCACCUCUCUGCCUUCCUGCAAGCACCUUACACUCUCGGAGUACCAAGCCAAGAUAAGGGCUUCUGCCUGGAACAGUGCCUGGGAUGUGUCAGCAGCAAAUGUCAGUGCUCUGGUUGAAGCCGCUGCUUGAAUCCAUGUUUUUCCACAUCGUGUUUUCUUCCAUGGCCAGUGAAAAGAAAAACCUCUUUUGGUGCAGGCCCAAGACCACCAUAAUCAUCAUUGAUUUUUCCUCUCUGCCUCAGGUC